rnacentral:rRNA from 1 species
GAUGAACGCUGGCGGCGUGCCUAAUACAUGCAAGUCGAGCGAACGGACGAGAAGCUUGCUUCUCUGAUGUUAGCGGCGGACGGGUGAGUAACACGUGGAUAACCUACCUAUAAGACUGGGAUAACUUCGGGAAACCGGAGCUAAUACCGGAUGAUAUUUUGAACCGCAUGGUUCAAAAGUGAAAGACGGUCUUGCUGUCACUUAUAGAUGGAUCCGCGCUGCAUUAGCUAGUUGGUAAGGUAACGGCUUACCAAGGCUACGAUGCAUAGCCGACCUGAGAGGGUGAUCGGCCACACUGGAACUGAGACACGGUCCAGACUCCUACGGGAGGCAGCAGUAGGGAAUCUUCCGCAAUGGGCGAAAGCCUGACGGAGCAACGCCGCGUGAGUGAUGAAGGUCUUCGGAUCGUAAAACUCUGUUAUUAGGGAAGAACAGAUGUGUAAGUAACUGUGCACAUCUUGACGGUACCUAAUCAGAAAGCAACGGCUAACUACGUG